rnacentral:rRNA from 1 species
UACGGAGGGUGCAAGCGUUAAUCGGAAUUACUGGGCGUAAAGCGCACGCAGGUGGCUGAGUCAGUCGAUUGUGAAAGCCCUGGGCUUAACCUGGGAAUUGCAGUCGAUACUACUCAGCUAGAGUAUGGGAGAGGGUAGUGGAAUUCCCGGUGUAGCGGUGAAAUGCGUAGAUAUCGGGAGGAACAUCAGUGGCGAAGGCGGCUACCUGGCCCAAUACUGACACUCAGGUGCGAAAGCGUGGGGAGCAAACAGGG